CGUUUAUUGAAUAUUAAUUUUAAAUAAGAUCUGCUCAAUGAUUAUUAAAUUAAAUAGCCGCAAUAUAUUAAUUGUGCAAAGGUAGCAUAAUAAUUUGAUUUUUUAUUAAAAUCUUGAAUGAAUGAUUAAAUGAAAUAAAAACUGUCUCAAAAUAAAUAAUUUUAAAAAUUAAUUUUUUGUUAAAAAUCAAAAAUAAAAUUAAAAGACGAGAAGACCCUAUAGAAUUUUAUAUUUAAUUAUAUAAAUUUUAUUAAUUUAUUAAUUUUAUUUAUUUAAAUAUUUUAUUGGGGUAAUAUAAAAAUUAAAAUAAUUUUUUAAUUUAAAUUUACAUUUAUAUAUGAAUAAUUUUUUUAAUAUUAUUUAUUAUAAAAAAAUUACCUUAGGGAUAACAGCGUUAUUUUUUUUAGAUAGAUCAUAUUGAUAAAAAAGAUUGCGACCUCGAUGUUGAAUUAAAAUUUAUUUUAAUUGCAAAAAAUUAAUAAUUAAGUCUGUCGACUUUUAAAAUUUU
rnacentral:rRNA from 1 species